AAAAAUUGUGAAGAAGGUGUUGAAGAUUCAGAAGGCAAAGGAAAAACUAGCUUCAAAGAGCUGAGGGGUAGGGACGCUGAAGUCUCUGUCAAGUCUAUUGUGUUUUCAGAUAACUUAGCUUUGAUGACGAUGAAUAUAUGUGAAAGAACCUGUCGAAAUGCAACUGCGAUUAGAAUUUAAGCUCUAGUAUGGUUUUGUAAACUCCUUUUGGAACUAUUGCCACCUGAUUGGAGGAGGUUUUUCCUCUUUCCAUUUCAAUGAUAUUUUAACGCAUGAUAACUAAGUUUACCUGUGCAUGGCGUUUGCUUAGUGCAUCGGGAUGCCCUUUUUUUAUAACUCAAGUUUUC
rnacentral:lncRNA from 1 species